UUGGAUUCUGUUCUUUAGCAUGAUGUAACAUGUGAAACAUUUAAUGAACCUUAACACUUAGAGGAAGGAGAAGUCGUAACAAGGUUUCUGUAGGUGAACCUGCAGAAGGAUCAUUUGUGAACAAUGCUCAUGUCAAUGAUGCUUGGUGGCAUGCACCUUGUUAGUUGUAGCAUGACAGCUUGAUACUUAUCUAAACGCUUUCAUCAACUGUCUUCUGACAGCAAUGAAUGCAUCAAUUCAAAACAAUAUGAAGAGUGCAGCCAAAUGCAGUAAUCAUUGCAAAUUGCAGAAUUCCGUGAGUCAUUUUUCUUGAAUGUAGGCAUGUUCUUGGGCCACCCCUAAGGACAUCAUUUACUCAGUGCAUCUUUGUUAAUGGUGUGCUCCACAUCAUGCAUUAUGUGUGUGUGAUGUGGUAUACUCUUCUUUGCAGUUAUGCAAUACACAUUCGUUUUGUCCAACAUCUGAAUGAAUGGCUUAAACCUGCUGAAUUUAAGCAUAUUAGUAAGCAGAGGAACCCCAUCAAACUUGGAUUUUGUAAGUAGUUGCGAAUGAACACAAAUUUGAUCACUUUGGCAAUCUGUACACAUUGCUGUGUAACAAUUUGUAUACGUUGGCACAGUGCUAUCAAAGCUGCAUGCAAGUGUUUUUUGAAAGGAUACAACAUGGGAUGUGAUAUUCAUGUGUGUGUGCCUGCUUUGUCCACAGCCUGUGCUGUAUGAAUCACAUUUCUUGCAACUGAAAUGCUAAUGGCAUGGUAAAGUUCAUGUGACAUGACACAAGCUUGAGAUUCAUGAUGUGCAAGUACCAUGAGGGAAAUGUGAAAAGGACUUUGGAAAGAGAAUUAAAUAAAGCCUGCAUUUGCUGACAAUGAAAGCAAGUGUGGAUGUUCAUGUAAUUGUUACUGCAUCAAUCAAUGUUCAUCUUGGUUACUGCAUGCUUUAUAUUACAGCUCAGAACAUGAAGUGUGUGUAACAGCUCUGCUUUGAUUUUUCCCACAUGGGAUCAGUUGAAACAUUGUGAGAGCACUCUUCAGUUUCCUUAUGUACCCACCAGCUUUGUCCACUCGCGUGUUGGCACACAUGUAAUGAUGAUGUGUUUAUGCAAGAUACUUCUGUGCUCAACAACAUGUUGUGUCAAUCCUCACUUGACCCGUCUUGAAACACGGACCAAGGAGUCUGGCAAGUGUGCAAACCAACUUUCUGUAGAGAUUUGUAUGUAAUGAACAUGUUUGUAUCAUUAUUGCACCACCAAUCAAUAUUCAGCUCGUUGCUUAUUUGAAUGUGAGCAUUGUUGCUAGGACCCGAAAGAUGGUGAACUAUGCUUGCAUAACAUGAGUUCAGAGGAAACUCUGAUGGAAGUUUGUAUCGGUACUGACGUGCAAAUCGUUCGUCACAACUGGGUAUAGGGGCGAAAGACUAAUCGAACCAUCUAGUAGCUGGUUCCUCCCGAAGUUUCCCUCAGGAUAGUUGGGAUUUGUUCAGUUAUAUUAUUUAAAGCGAAUGUUUAAAGGAAUUGGGGGCUUGUUUGCCUUUGACCUAUUCUCAAACUUUUAAUGUGUAUUAUUGCUGGAAUAACACAGAGUAUUGCAUGCAAUGAAAAAAUCAAGUGGGCCAUUUUUGGUAAGCAGAACUGGCGAUGAGGGAUGAACCUAAUAGUGGGUAAACAUGCUUAAUUUCCUGCCUAUGUGAUACCAGAAAGGGUGUUGGUUCAUUUUAACAGCAGGACGGUGGUCAUGAAGUGAAUCCCGUAAGUUU
rnacentral:rRNA from 1 species